UGUUCUGUAGCUUAGUUGGUUAAAGCGCCGGUCUAGCGUACUCGGAGUCGUGAGUUCGAGUCUCACUAGAUUGC
rfam:Aedes aegypti strain Liverpool supercont1.199 genomic scaffold, whole genome shotgun sequence.